rnacentral:rRNA from 1 species
GAGUUUGAUCCUGGCUCAGGACGAACGCUGGCGGCGUGCUUAACACAUGCAAGUCGAACGAGAAUCUGUGGAAAGAGGAUUCGUCCAAUUGAAACAGAGGACAGUGGCGGACGGGUGAGUAACGCGUGAGGAACCUGCCUUUCAGAGGGGGACAACAGUUGGAAACGACUGCUAAUACCGCAUAACGCAUAGAAGUCGCAUGGCUUUUAUGCCAAAGAUUUAUCGCUGAAAGAUGGCCUCGCGUCUGAUUAGCUAGUUGGUGAGGUAACGGCCCACCAAGGCGACGAUCAGUAGCCGGACUAAGAGGUUGAACGGCCACAUUGGGACUGAGAUACGGCCCAGACUCCUACGGGAGGCAGCAGUGGGGAAUAUUGGGCAAUGGGCGCAAGCCUGACCCAGCAACGCCGCGUGAAGGAAGAAGGCUUUCGGGUUGUAAACUUCUUUUGUCAGGGACGAGGAGAAGACGGUACCUGACGAAUAAGCCACGGCUAACUACGUGCCAGCAGCCGCGGUAAUACGUAGGUGGCAAGCGUUGUCCGGAUUUACUGGGUGUAAAGGGCGUGUAGCCGGGUCGGCAAGUCAGAUGUGAAAUCCACGGGCUUAACUCGUGAACUGCAUUUGAAACUGUUGAUCUUGAGUAUCGGAGAGGCAAUCGGAAUUCCUAGUGUAGCGGUGAAAUGCGUAGA